rfam:Gossypium arboreum cultivar AKA8401 contig_323_1, whole genome shotgun sequence.
UGUUAAAAAUUUCAUCCAUUUGUACGGUUUAAAACUGGUUUAACUGAUAGAAUAACCAAACAAUGACACGUACCUCGUGCUGAUGUACAUGGACCAAUUUUUAAUAGCAAAAAUGAAUAAAAUUUUUUAACA